rnacentral:rRNA from 1 species
UACGUAGGGAGCGAGCGUUGUCCGGAAUUACUGGGUGUAAAGGGAGCGUAGGCGGGAGAUCAAGUUGAAUGUUAAAUCUAUUGGCUUAACUGAUAGCUGCGUUCAAAACUGAUUUUCUUGAGUGAAGUAGAGGCAGGCGGAAUUCCUAGUGUAGCGGUGAAAUGCGUAGAUAUUAGGAGGAACACCAGUGGCGAAGGCGGCCUGCUGGGCUUUUACUGACGCUGAGGCUCGAAAGCAUGGGUAGCAAACA